rnacentral:rRNA from 1 species
UGGGGAAUAUUGCACAAUGGGCGCAAGCCUGAUGCAGCCAUGCCGCGUGUGUGAAGAAGGCCUUCGGGUUGUAAAGCACUUUCAGCGGGGAGGAAGGCGUUAAGGUUAAUAACCUUGGCAAUUGACGUUACCCGCAGAAGAAGCACCGGCUAACUCCGUGCCAGCAGCCGCGGUAAUACGGAGGGUGCAAGCGUUAAUCGGAAUUACUGGGCGUAAAGCGCACGCAGGCGGUCUGUCAAGUCGGAUGUGAAAUCCCCGGGCUCAACCUGGGAACUGCAUUCGAAACUGGCAGGCUAGAGUCUUGUAGAGGGGGGUAGAAUUCCAGGUGUAGCGGUGAAAUGCGUAGAGAUCUGGAGGAAUACCGGUGGCGAAGGCGGCCCCCUGGACGAAGACUGACGCUCAGGUGCGAAAGCGUGGGGAGCAAACAGG